rnacentral:lncRNA from 10 species
GUUUGCUCACCCCUCAUCUAUUCGCAAACAAAUCUCAUUGAGGUUUGCUCCGUGAGUGGCUGCUCUGUUCUCUUCUAAGAAAGACAAACUCCGUACUAUUUAGAGGUGACAGCGUGCUGGCAGUCCUCACAGCCCUCGCUCGCUCUCCGCGCCUCCUCUGCCUGGGCUCCCACUUUGGCGGCACUUGAGGAGCCCUUCAGCCCGCCGCUGCACCGUGGGAGCCCCUUUCUGGGCUGGGCAAGGCGGGAGCCGGCUCCCUCAGCUUGCGGGGAGGUCUGGAGGGAGAGGCGCGGGCGGGAACCGGGGCUGCUCGCAGUGCCUGCGGGCCAGCGCGAGUUCCGGGUGGGCGUGGGCUCGGCGGACCCAGCACUCGGAGCGGCCGACCGGCCCUACCGGCGCCGGGCAGUGAGGGGCUUAGCACCUGGGCCAGCAGCUGCUGUGCUCAAUUUCUCGCCGGGCCUUAGCUGCCUUCCUACGGGGCAGGGCUCGGGACCUGCAGCCCGCCAUGCCUGAGCUUCCCCCCGACCCGCCUUGGGCUCCUGUGCGGCCGGAGCCCAUGUGAAGAGCACUCAGUAUGAUGACCGGAGACACAGCUGUUGGAGGAAAAAAGUUUAUGUCAAUUAAAAUCCUGAAUUUCUCUGAUCUGGAAAGAAAAACUGCUAUGAACUCUUUAGCUGCAAGUACUUGCAUCUCAUAAAUCCAAUUUCCUCAUUUUACAUAUGGAGACACCAAGACCCAAGAAGGAAAAGCAACUAUCAACUGUUUAUGCCAAGUUGGUCGAUAUCAUGGCUAAACUGGAGCCCAG